UAAAUCGCUUGUUGCUGUUGAUUGUGAUGCUGUUGCAACGGAGUCAACAAGGGCAUCGACUGAAUCGAGCGCAAUGUCCCACUAGUUCCUGGCCGGCUGGUCUGCAUUCUAAAUGAAUCGAGAGAAGAAGACACAAAAAAACGUUUUGCACGGUCCAGUGAAUUAUCCAUCGGUUGGUUGCAUAGAUAAAGAAAGAAAAAAAAACAGACCCCCUCUGCUUUCAGAAAAAUCAUGGCCGCCAAAUGGAGUCGACUGGGAGUUCUCUUUUAUAAACUACACGCAAUACAACCGCAUAAUAACUGGAAAAGGGAAAAAUCCAGUACAUUCGGAAGAACGAUGUUAACAAGGAAAAAGAAAAAGGAAAGAAAAGAGUUGCGUGUGCAAAGUACCUCUCGGCGUCUGUUUCCGUUUCGCUGCUCGAGCCGGUCGUUGUUUCUUGGCUGGAACGCGAUGGACGAGCGGACGAGUUGCGGUUACCUGGUCUGCCCCCACCAGCGCCUUCCGCUGCUGGCGUUAUUCCGGUGUGGUUGCUAGUUCCUGUCGAGGAUGAAGUCGAUGCUUUCUUGCCAGCACCACCUCGGGCGGCUGGAACACUGGCGUGCAUCCUCUUGCCCGUCUGUUGGCCGCUCUCAGACUGUCGCUGCCCUCUUCCAUCUUCCAUCGCGGCAGACCGAGCUGACCGUGAACCCAAACUCGGGUGAGAAAAACGAUCGGAGCUCGAUGACGGUACACCUUCUGUCAUCACAAAAUCACAAGGCGCAUCUUCUUGAAAAUUUUUUUUGUGUUCUUCUACAUGCUGGACACACCGUCAUCAUCAUCUGGCCGGGAGGUAAACCCUCAGCUUUAAAUUUAAAAAAAACGUUGUAACCAAAAAAAGAAAAUUUACAUAUUUUUGCUCUUUGCUCUGAUGGCACCGAAGCAAAGAAAAAAAAAAAGAUAAGAAAAUGGACAUGGCAAGGAAAUUAAUUUUUGGGGGUUUGGAGGGGUUGGUCAAAUAUACCGCCCACUCUGCCCCCAGUCUGAAAUGUGUCCAGACAAAUAACAACACGAGAACAACGUCAAAGGAAUAUGUUAAUGACAAGAGACCAGGUCAUUUGUUUAUCGUUCAGACCAAUCCAUCAGAGUUUCCGUCCCUUCAACCGUCUCAGGUGCCAAUAUCAUCCGAUAUAGAAAAUGAUAAACAAUCGCCAACACACAAAAAAUAAGGUGGCGAAAAGGUGUGCAUUCCCGUCCGCCCGUGUAGUCCCGAAAAAAACAACACAAGUGGCUGAGCUCCUCAAGUCCAAGGCCACAUGAUCACGCAGACAAGUUACGUGUGGCUUUCUUCCCUGACAUUUCAGGAAUGUUUUCUUUUUUUUAAUUCCUUGGAAUGAUUCAAGAAGGGAAAACGAUGUGUGAAAAAACAAGUUUUCAUCCGUUGAAAAUUGGCUUUUUUUCCCUUACUAACUUUCAAAUUAAACUUUGAUUUUAAAAAAGAAAUAGAUUUCCGUUGGCUCCGUUCUUUAAAAAAAAACAAACCAUAAAUGCGAGAGAAUCCGCCCCCACACAACAAUACGAGAAUUUACGAUGGGCCCAUCUCUUUCCAGUAAUGCCGCUCUUCUUCCAAGGUUGAAUAAAUUAAAUGCUACUACGGAAAAGAAGAAAAUCACGUCUUUUGCCGGAAACUUCAAAAAGAGCACCGAUGGGUUCGUCGAGUUCGGAUUUGCCAGUAAAACUCACAAAACAAAACAGAACAAACUAUGCAGCAAAUUGCCCAAAGUGUUCCAGGCAACAGCAAAAAAAAAAUGUCAAGUAAACAAGAAAUCUGCACUAAUUCAAGGAUGAAGAAAUCAAAGGGAAAAAAAACGAGUUUCUCCAGAGAGAGAUAUAAAUGGGCAUGGAUACCAACUAAAGGUGAAAUAUACACCUGCACAUAUUACGCUAAAGAAAGCCAUUUUUACCUGGAUAUCUCUCGUGGAAAUUGGAUUGAUUGUUACUGCUGCCGCUGUGCUGAUAAUUGAAAUCGCGGUGUUGCCAGGCUAGUGGCGUGCGUGAAUCCAAGUCGACACGGUCGUUGGAACUGCUUUGACGGGAUCGUUCCCGCUCUCGUUCACGACGAUCCAUUCGUCGCUCCAUUCACGCAACGGCCCAAAUCUUUCCUUUCCGGACUGACACGUGAUUGCGCACUACAAUGUCUUGUUCUUCUUUUGGCGCAGCAGCAGAAACCAACACAUCCGCUCUCGACCGGAACUGCCGGACGUUGGGAAGGAGAAGAAAAAAACUGUUACUUUGUGUGAUGAUAGCCACACCACCACUCUUGGCUGAACGUAUCGAAACCGGUUGUGUGCGGUUUUUCUUCUUUCUCGUGCUGGCGAAAGAUAACGAGAAAAAAAUCUUUGACAUUAGCAGCACCACGAUAUUUCAAGAAAAAAAAAAAUUUUUUUAAAAUAAAAUAAUGGAGAGCUCCGUUCCGAUCCGCUUCAGAGUGUCGACUGGCUGUGGUGGCCCUGGUCGACUUCCUUCUCUUUGCUCCCCUCACCAAAAAAAGCUCAGCUAUUGCUCUCGCAUUUUCCCACCUUUCUUACCCAUUCUGUUAUUCCCACCAGGUAAGGAACUGUGGAAGACAUCCAAAAUGGCCGCCGUCUACCUAGUACUGCAUACAUUUUGUAUUUCUUUUCAAAGAAGAAGAAGAAGAAGAAGAAAACCUUCCCUCUGGCGGAAUUCAAGUCCCUACCCUUUUUGCCUGUUGGAGUCAUCGACCUGUAGAAAACAAAAGACAAUCACGCGGUUCCCAGUACACACAAUGUCGCAGCCAACAAUUCCGGGAUCUGGGUGAUGGUAAUAAAUACAUUUUUCAUUGGUUUUAGCGAACGAAAAACAAUUGGAUGCCGCUGCGCGAUGAAGUCAGGUGACAUAAUGUUGCGCUUUUUCUUUUUUUUU